rnacentral:rRNA from 1 species
CCACCGGGAUGUUCAUAACCCUUUGUUGUCCGACUCUGUUGCCUCCGGGGCGACCCUGCCUUCGGGCGGGGGCUCCGGGUGGACACUUCAAACUCUUGCGUAACUUUGCAGUCUGAGUAAACUUAAUUAAUAAAUUAAAACUUUUAACAACGGAUCUCUUGGUUCUGGCAUCGAUGAAGAACGCAGCGAAAUGCGAUAAGUAAUGUGAAUUGCAGAAUUCAGUGAAUCAUCGAAUCUUUGAACGCACAUUGCGCCCCCUGGUAUUCCGGGGGGCAUGCCUGUUCGAGCGUCAUUUCACCACUCAAGCCUCGCUUGGUAUUGGGCAACGCGGUCCGCCGCGUGCCUCAAAUCGACCGGCUGGGUCUUCUGUCCCCUAAGCGUUGUGGAAACUAUUCGCUAAAGGGUGUUCGGGAGGCUACGCCGUAAAACAACCCCAUUUCUAAGGUUGACCUCGGAUCAGGUAGGGAU